GCUUACUUUGGCAACACAUAUACUAACAUUGGAAGGACACAGAGAUUAGCAAGGCCCCUCCACAAGGAUGACACACACAUUCAUGAAGCAUUCCAUUUUUUC